UAUAAUUUAUUUAUUUUCAUAUGGGUAGGGUAGGUGGGGCAAAGUGAGCACCCCAAUGAGCCAAGAUUAAUGGGGUAUUUUGGAGUACAGUGGGGUUCCGUUUUUGGCAACAAAGUCGAAAUUUUCGGAUGUCAAAAACGAACCUAUUUUUUCUAUUUUAUUUAAUAAUAAUUCUCGAAUACUUUUUCAAAUGGACGUAAGUCCAAAAAUGUGAACAAAUCUGAUUUUCAUUGCAAUCGACUACUAAAUAAGCAAUAAUUAUGGUAUUUUAAGAUUUUUUUUAAAAAAAUCGCUCAAUAAGAUUUUUAAAAUAAAAUUUGCAAACCGACUGAACAUACCAUUUCGUGCAUACACCCUUUUGGUUUCAAAUCGACGAAUCCAUCAAAUCAACUGACAGCAUAGAUUCGCUCGAACGAAAACAGCGAAUGUCAUGAAAAAAAAAUAAACAUUGUAGUGCACCGACUAUCGUCGUUCUGUCGCCGGCUAUUAUUUUUGUUAAUCUAAACAAAAAACAAGUGGAAAUUUGAGAUCUCAGUUUCGAAAUACCAUGGUUUUUUUGGAAGGACAUCAUGCAUUACCUGUUUUCACUUGUUGCAAACCUAAAAUAUUUAGGAUGGACGAGCUCAGCAAUGCCAACAGCUUGGGUGCCACCUCGCAGAAUCGCAAGAGAGAGUAGUUUUCAAGGAAAUGGAGUACUCUGAACCAGUGUUACUGAAGAGCUAGCAUGGUUUUCAAAACUACGCAGGUAUCAGGACAAGGAUCGAGUUUGACUGUUGUGGGCAACCCAAGAUAGGGGAAGAUGUUAAGUAUGUAAAAUUAUCCGAACUUAAGGGAAAAUAAUAAAACCCUAAAUUAUAUCAA